AUUCUUUAGAAGGUUAAAUAAUCAAAAAUAGUAAAAAGCUUUGAAAUAGUAUAAAACAUUUAAAACCUCCUACAAGAACUCUAUCCCACUUGCUUGUCUUUUUAUUUUAUAAAUAUAUAGCAAUCAUGGAAAAGUUUAAUCAUUCCACAAAGCAAGAAGAGAAGGGGGGAAAAAAAUCUUAGUUAAGUUUGAAAAUCCUUUCCAAAAUCCUUCACAGGAAAAAUAUAAGGAGGAAAUUAGGAGGAAAAAAGAAAGAGAAGGAAGAUAUAUCCUCCAUGGAAGAAGCUAAUAUUAUAGCAACUAUCACCUCAACAACAAUAUUUUUUUUGUUUAUGAUCAGUAUAAAUGUCUCAAAUGUUGCAGCAAGAUUACCAAACGAAAAAAUUGUUGUCAUAACCAACAAUCAUACAAAUUAUCUUAGCGUUCGUUGCUUCUCCUUCGAUCAAGAUGGCGAUGUUAAGCACCUAAAUACCAUGGGGACUUUCAACAUCACUGUUAAAAUCAGAAAAUUCUUCUCCACUUCAACAAUGUUCAAUUGCUCUACAAACAUGGGAACAUUUGUGGCGUUUAAAUCCAACUAUGAGUGUGUUAGCCAUUCAAUGCCUUGUGAAUGGAGAUUUGAUGAGAACUUCACGUAUCGCUAUAGUCCCAAGGAGAAAAAGUGGGUUGCUCAUGAAUACAAUCCCAAUUAUGAGUCUCUUACUAGAGGAGGAGUCAUCAAAGGGUAUUAUGUUAAUUAAAUAGAAUGAUAAAUAUUUAACGUUUACUAGAGAUUCAUAUAGUUAACUCAACUUGGUACAACUAUCAGAAUGCUUUGUCAAAAAAUGGUAGUAUAAAAUGUAAUCUAGAAAAGUAGAAUAUUUGGUGUUAGAUCGUAGAAAAUGUAACUUGUCAAGUUACAUAUUAUUGAAUUUAGGUUAUGUGUACAUUUAACGGCAUUAAGUUACACUAUUGAAUUUUAUGCAAAUUAUGAAUCUCUUACUAGAGAGUUAUCAAAAGGUAUUAUCCUAUACUGUUGAUAACAUAACAUACAAUUCUCAGUUAGUAGUCCUAAUGAUAUCACUAAUCAAUAUACAAAGGCUAACUAUAGGGACAAUCAAGAAAUGUCAUGGAAAAGAACAAAGAAACUUAGUUAGUAGGUAGUGAAAUCUUGUUUGUCGUAGUAUUAGUCUUAUUCUUGUAAGUAUUGCUUUUGAUUUUUAUCAUCAUCUAUUGUUAAGUGUG